rnacentral:rRNA from 1 species
GCGAUACUUGGUGUGAAUUGCAGAAUUCAGUGAAUCAUCGAAUCUUUGAACGCACCUCUGCACCCUUUGGUAUUCCGAAGGGUAUGCCUGUUUGAGUGUCAUUUCGUUUCUCAACCAAUAGACUUGAUUGUCGACUUGGCUUGGAUGUGGUGGUUUGCGGGCUUCAUUCGAGGUCGGCUCCUCUUAAAUGCAUUAGUGGAAUUCUGUUCGUAUUCACUUGGCGUCGCAUAGUUCUAUCGUCGUCUCGUGUUGAAUAGUGGUCUGCUUCUAACUGUCUUAACAGACAAAGCUCUCUUGUAUUUGACCUCAAAUCAGGUAGGACUACCCGCUGAACUUAAGCAUAUCAAUAAGGCGGAGGAA